AUGUGAAAACAACAGGAAUUUUUGUCUGGUUCCCAAAGAAACGUGCGGUCUUGCAUUUUCAUGUUGGAAAACAACACCCUUCUUGUUGGCCAAUUCUGGGCGUUUCCUUGAAUUGCUGCUUUUAACUUGUCCUGUUGUGUGCAGUAUUUCU